AAAAAAAAAGCCCUCAGACGGGAAGAAAGUCUCUCUGAGAACCAAAAAAGAAGUGGGAGUGGCAAGCGUCUCCGGACUUUCAUCCCAGCCUCGCUGUGACUCAUGCAUGCACUCAAUAGGACUGAAUGAAGCUGGCGCUUACUAAGCCAUGGCAGACAUCAUCAGAAGAAGCAGGAGGUUAAAAGCUAGCCUGAGUCAAACAUGAGAGACCCCGUGUACUCUUUGCACAGUUACACAAUAAACACAAGAGUUACUGUGGGAAAGAAAUCAACGUAGGGAAGUAAAAUCCCGUCUUGAAAUGUGAUGAGGGAUUUGUGAUUUCUAUUUUCGGAAUUUUUUAUUGUACGUGAGGGGAUUGAGUCGAGUUUUGGGUCAAGGUUGAUGCAGUUUUUAUGCCAAAUCACAUAUUUUCUCAUGUAUCACUAAAGCAAAGCAAAUAACGCCAAACAAUCCCCCAUCAAAAAGUGUAUUUCAUAUUACAUGUAUUGCAUUUAUGCGUUUAGGAUUUUUUUUCUUGAGUGUUUAUCUUCUGGCUGAUAAUGACAGAAUCAAGUUAAAUUAAAGGGGAACUGAAUUUUGUGCGAAUUUUGGCCAUCAUUCACAAUCCUUAUGUGAAACAUAAACUUUGGGUACAUUUGUCUUUGUUUUUUUGUUGUUGUUUUUUUAAACUGUGGAAGUGUACAUGACUUUUUGUUGUGGGACAGGUCCUAGAUUUAUUAUGCUUUAUUAUUAUUCCAACAUAUGAUAGUUGUCCCCAAAUGCCA